rnacentral:rRNA from 1 species
AUAUUGCACUAUGGGGGAUACCUUGAUGCAGCCAUGCCUCGUGUGUGAAGAAGGCCUUAGGGUUGUAAAGCACUUUCAGUGGUGAGGAAAGGUUUAUGGUGAAUAGCCAUGGACUGUGACGUUAGCCACAGAAGAAGCACCGGCUAACUCCGUGCCAGCAGCCGCGGUAAUACGGAGGGUGCGAACGUUAAUCGGAAUUACUGGGCGUAAAGCGCGCGUAGGCGGAUAGAUAAGCUGGAUGUGAAAGACCUGGGCUUAACCUAGGCUGUGCAUUCAGAACUGUUUAUUCUAGAGUAAGGAAGAGGGGGGUAGAAUUCCAGGUGUAGCGGUGAAAUGCGUAGAGAUCUGGAGGAAUACCGGUGGCGAAGGCGGCCCCCUGGUCCAUUACUGACGCUGAGGUGCGAAAGCGUGGGGAGCGAACAGGAUUAGAUACCCUGGUAGUCCACGCCGUAAACGAUGUCUACUUGCUGUUUGUGCAAUUAUUGCGUAAGUAGCGGAGCUAACGCGUUAAGUAGACCGCCUGGGAGUACUGGCCGCAGGGUAAACUCAUAUGACUGACGGGGCCCGCACAAGCGGUGGAGCAUGUGGUUUAAUUCGAUGCAACGCGAAGUACCUUACCAUCCCUUGACAUCCAGAGCACUUGGCAGAGAUGCCUUGGUGCCUUCGGGAACUCUGAGACAGGUGCUGCAUGGCUGUCGUCAGCUCGUGUUGUGAAAUGUUGGGUUAAGUCCCGCAACGAGCGCAACCCUUGUCCUUAUUUGCCAUCAUUAAGUUGGGGACUAUAAGGAGACUGCCGGUGAUAAACCGGAGGAAGGUGGGGACGACGUCAAGUCAUCAUGGCCCUUACGGGAUGGGCUACACACGUGCUACAAUGGUAGGUACAGAGGGCUGCUAACCUGCGAAGGUACGCGAAUCCCUUAAAGCCUAUCGUAGUCCGGAUUGGAGUCUGCAACUCGACUCCAUGAAGUCGGAAUCGUCUAGUAAUCGCAGAUCAGAAUGCUGCGGUGAAUACGUUCCCGGGUCCUUGUUACACACCGUCCCGUCACACCAUGGGAGUGGGUCUGUCAAAAGAAGUAGUGUAGUCUUAACAUUGUGUGUCUCAUCCAUCUUUGU